UAAAGAAGGAAGGAGAAGCAGAUAGGGAAAGUAUUACAAGUCAAAGAGGAGAAAUUAGAGCCAAGCAGGUUAUUGAUCCUCAAGGGGUAAAUAGGAGAGAGAAAGGAGAGCAUCUGAGCCUAAGAGGAGAGAGAGUAGGAUUGAAGAGCUACUGAGAGUGAAGGCAGAGACCAGGACCAAAGGAAGUGGAGAAGAGUCAUAAAGAGGGAAAUGGAACAUUUUGAGAAGAAAGAGAAGACUUGUUAGUCUGUUGAUAAGAAGAGGAAAAAUGGACAUUGGUUUCUUGGAAAGGAGCUAUGACUCAGGAGCUUGAAGGGAAACAGUUGAGAAGUGGAUUCAGGAUGAGCUAGGUUUUAAUUUAACACGUGACUGGGCUUAUGAGACGUAGGAGAAUGCCUAGCGAGAAAAACAGAACAUCGCAGCAGGGCUGAGGGCGGGGUCAUGAAGUUGUGGAAGAAGAUGUGGGCUGCUGUAGACAAAGUCAGUUUCUGAAGGAGGCCACUAAAGAAGAAGGAGGGACUCUGAAGUGACAAAAGCAGAAGCAGAGAGAAGAAAAUAAAGAAGUGAAGAAAAAAAAUCUCUGCCCUCCCAAGAUCGUCCACUGCUGGCUGCCUCUGGUGAUUAUCUGAGCACCAAGAAAGUGUUGCCUCUCUUCUGAGACACCUGCACGGCCACAAGGUCAAGACGGGCAGCUUUCCGUGGUGUGGGCCUCUCCGACUGCGCUGCAUGCUGUAGGAAUUGGGGACCAAGUAAUGAGACUUGUUCUCUGGCUGGAUUAUAUUUGCUCCCGGAGCAUCUCACGCAUUCCACUGACGUCACAGAAGAAAGAAGUGAAGCUGGAGAAACCGUGACCCCCCUGAAGAUGCCCAGGACUGUUCUUUGGCAUUUGUCCAAAGUCCAGGACUGUGGUUUCAUUUUAACCAUAAAACCUUCUUUGGGAAGAAUUGCUUUUCAAUCUGGAAAGAGCCAGGCUGAUACAGAGCAGUAACACCUCCUGCCUGGAACCUGCAGGCCACACAGCAAUUCGCAGUUCUGAAAACGUGGUCCACGGAGAGGCCUGUCAGCAGUGACAGCGUUAUCUCGUCGGGAAUGACCCUCGAGAGGCGGUGAAGCCCACCCAGCACGUCCUGAGCUCCCGGCGCUGGUCGGGGUACCUCCGGUUCCUCCUCUUCCCUCACAAGGCAAGUCCUUCAGCAAUAACUCCCUGCAUUUGUAGGACCUGAAACAAUCUUUGAUACAGCAAGACAGAAAUCAGUUAUCUGCCUUUUUUUCAGUUUAAGCAACAGACUUCUUCUUUGGUGAUAAAAAAAAAAAAAAUCAAAGAUAAAAAGGAAAUGGACCAUGCCAUGAGACUAACUCUAGAAAAAAAAUGAUUUGUGCUGUUGCAGCUGAGGCAGACAAUUCACAGAAAUAGUCUUCACCCCCCCCCCAAAAAAAAGGAAAGAAGAGAAACAAACCAACAAAAGGAAUAGUCUUCACUUUACCAGAGAUCCAUUUAAAUACGAAUCUCUUCUGGAACUUUUAAGGGCGGGGUGGGGGUGGGGGGUAGAAAAACGAAAGGCCAACUAUGGGAGGCGAAGGGGAGUCUUAACUGAAACAAAGGGUCUGAUUCCCCAGUGAGUUGGGAAGAGCU
rnacentral:lncRNA from 1 species